AUGUUCUCCAAAGACUGCAGUAUAAAACUGCUCCUGCAAGAUCGGGUCCUUGCUAAUUACAAUACUAAUAUUAACUUUUUCAUUCAUGUUGUAAUAGUUUUCUUUUAUUUUGGUACUUUUAUCUGCCGUUGGUAUCGGAGUAAUAUUGGUCUCAUGGAAUGUAUUAGGAAGUAUCUCUUCCUCUUCUAUUAUAUGCAAGAAUUUGAGGAGGGUUGGUGUAAAUUUUUCUUGAAGUGUUUCUUAGAAGUCAAUAGUGUAGUCUUCCGGUCUUGGACUUUUUUUUUGUUAAGAAGUUUUUGAUUACUUCUUCAAUUUCUUUACAUGUUACAUGUCUAUUAAAUUUUCUACUUGUUCUUGAGUUAGUUUGGUAAUUUGUGUGUUUCUAGAAAUUUGUCCAUUUUAUUAAGGUUGUUAAAUUUG
rnacentral:lncRNA from 1 species